GUUCCUGUAGUUAAAGUUUAACGACAGUUUUUCAAGCUGUAGAUCUCAGGUGUAGACUGAGCAGGAAUU
rnacentral:tRNA from 1 species